GGACUACCGGGGUAUCUAAUCCCGUUUGCUCCCCUGGCUUUCGCGCCUCAGCGUCAGUAGGUGUCCAGCACGUCGCUUUCGCCACCGGCGUUCCUUCCGAUAUCUACGCAUUUCACCGCUCCACCGGAAGUUCCACAUGCCCCUGCACCCCUCGAGACCGCCAGUAUCCGCGGCACUUCCCCGGUUGAGCCGGGGGCUUUCACCACAGACUUGACGGCCCGCCUACGCGCCCUUUAAGCCCAGUGAAUCCGAACAACGUUCGCACGGUUCGUCUUACCGCGGCUGCUGGCAC
rnacentral:rRNA from 3 species